GCCAUGCCGCGUGCAGGAAGACGGCCCUAUGGGUUGUAAACUGCUUUUAUACAGGAAGAAACACUCCCUCGUGAGGGAGCUUGACGGUACUGUAAGAAUAAGCACCGGCUAACUCCGUGCCAGCAGCCGCGGUAAUACGGAGGGAGCUAGCGUUGUUCGGAAUUACUGGGCGUAAAGCGCGCGUAGGCGGUUACUCAAGUCAGAGGUGAAAGCCCGGAGCUCAACUCCGGAACUGCCUUUGAAACUAGGUGACUAGAAUCUUGGAGAGGCGAGUGGAAUUCCGAGUGUAGAGGUGAAAUUCGUAGAU
rnacentral:rRNA from 1 species